UACGUAGGUGGCAAGCGUUGUCCGGAAUUAUUGGGCGUAAAGGGCGCGUAGGCGGUGCGGUAAGUCACCUGUGAAAUCUCCUGGCUCAACUGGGAGCUUGCAGGCGAAACUGCCGUGCUGGAGUGUGGGAGAGGUGCGUGGAAUUCCUGGUGUAGCGGUGAAAUGCGUAGAUAUCAGGAGGAACACCUGUGGCGAAAGCGGCGCACUGGACCACAACUGACGCUGAGGCGCGAAAGCGUGGGGAGCGAACAGG
rnacentral:rRNA from 1 species